UACGUAGGUGACCAGCGUUGUCCGGAUUUACUGGGCGUAAAGAGCGCGCAGGCGGUCGUUCAAGUCGAGUGUGAAAGCCCCCGGCUCAACUGGGGAGGGUCACUCGAUACUGAUCGACUUGAAGGCAGGAGAGGGAAGCGGAAUUCCCGGUGUAGUGGUGAAAUGCGUAGAUAUCGGGAGGAACACCGGUGGCGAAGGCGGGUCUCUGGGCCGUAACCUGACGCUGAGGAGCGAAAGCGUGGGGAGCAACAGG
rnacentral:rRNA from 1 species